rnacentral:rRNA from 1 species
AUUGAACGCUGGCGGCAUGCCUUACACAUGCAAGUCGAACGGCAGCACGGGGCAACCUGGUGGCGAGUGGCGAACGGGUGAGUAAUGCAUCGGAACGUACCUUUCAGUGGGGGAUAACGUAGCGAAAGUUACGCUAAUACCGCAUAGUCUGUGAGCAGGAAAGCAGGGGAUCGCAAGACCUUGCGCUGAUUGAGCGGCUGAGGUCAGAUUAGCUAGUUGGUGAGGUAAAGGCUCACCAAGGCGACGAUCUGUAGCGGGUCUGAGAGGAUGAUCCGCCACACUGGAACUGAGACACGGUCCAGACUCCUACGGGAGGCAGCAGUGGGGAAUUUUGGACAAUGGGGGCAACCCUGAUCCAGCCAUGCCGCGUGAGUGAAGAAGGCCUUCGGGUUGUAAAGCUCUUUCGGCCGGGAAGAAAUCGCACGGGCUAAUACCCUGUGUGGAUGACGGUACCGGAAUAAGAAGCACCGGCUAACUACGUGCCAGCCGCCGCGGUAAGAC